UACGGGGGGGGCAAGCGUUGUUCGGAAUUACUGGGCGUAAAGGGCUCGUAGGCGGCCAACUAAGUCAGACGUGAAAUCCCCAGGCUCAACCUGGGAACUGCGUCUGAUACUGGAUGGCUUGAAUUCGGGAGAGGGAUGCAGAAUUCCAGGUGUAGCGGUGAAAUGCGUAGAUAUCUGGAGGAAUACCGGUGGCGAAGGCGGUUCUCUGGGCCUUACCUGACGCUGAGGAGCGAAAGCGUGGGGAGCGAACAGG
rnacentral:rRNA from 1 species